UUCCUCAGUAAAGAGAGACGCGCAGACGAUCAGACUGAGUUCAGACCAAACUAGCAGCUUCCUCUGAGUCCAGCUACAGGAGAGAAAAGUGGAAAACUCCAACACUGCUGCUUCAAGCUGCUGACGCUCCACACACUGAAUGUUCACUCACAGACUCAAUGGCUUCCAGAUCAGAGGAGGAUCUCUGCUGUCCGGUCUGUCAGGAGGUCUUCAGAGAUCCUGUUAUUCUGUCAUGUAGCCACAGCUUCUGUAAAGACUGUCUGAAGAGAUGGUGGAGAGAGAGACCAACACACGAGUGUCCAGUUUGUAAGAGAAGAUCUUCAAGGAAUGAACCACCUUUAAACCGAGCUUUAAAGAACCUGUGUGAGUCGUUCUUACAGGAGAGAGAUCAGAGAGCUUCAGAGGCUCUCUGCAGUCUGCACUCUGAGAAACUCAAACUCUUCUGUCUGGACCAUCAGCAGCCAGUGUGUGUCGUCUGCAGAGACUCAGAAAAA